CACAAUGGAGAGUUAUUAAGAGGCUUCUUGGUGAAGCGAGCAUGGCUUCUGCAAUCAUCAAAAAUUGAUAUGUACCGCUAGUAAAGUAAUUAUGCGCCAUCCUGAGGAUAAGGGAGCCAGCAAUUGUUAAUCCACUUGCACACCCGUUGACUUGCAACAUCAAGCUGCAAAUAGCUUAAUUAAGUCAUACACGUGGACUAUAACCAUAUUGCUCCAUUGCAUUAUGCACAGUAUAUCUCAAUUUAUUGGGACAAUUAAUGCUAGAACCUCACCUCGAGCAGGAAUGUCAGCCACCCAAUGCCCGAGUCCCUUUGGAUUGAUACUGCCCAAGUCAGAAAGCCACGAAUAAGUGAGAAUUAAGAGAGAUGGCAGCUGGGGAACUGGAGUGGGAUUUCUCCUGCGCAAACUUUUGGGGCCCAAUGGUGUUGUCCGAAUAGGAUGCCAAAAGCUGAGGUGAAGCAAGUGCUUUGGACAGACCACAAUUCAUCAUGUCCGUGAUGGUCGUGUAUUUAAGUGGGCAGAGUCCUCAAUAGUUUCAUUAAAAUUGUAAAUCACAUAGCAAAGCCUAUUCAUUAAUCACAAGAAAUCUUUAGCUCAGUAAGUCCCCGGUCUGUUAGGGCGGAUAUUUAAAUCAGCUCCACCCGACUCCCACACACAUCUGUCCGCCACAGGCAGUUUAUUUUUCUGAGUUUAAACUACUGAAACCUUUGGGUAAAACCCAAUCGAAUUUCUCUGUUUACUAACGACCAAGACGCAAACUUCUGUCCUAGAAUCCCUCUCCAUCCGGUCUCCAUUCUUCAUGGUGUAAACAUUCCAGGUGACACACGCUUGGGAAUGCUGUCACCCUCCGCGGCCGGCAGCGGCGGUGUGGUGGGUGGUAGAGGGACCGCCUUCCCCCUAAGCUAGCAGCCCUUGUCCCUAGCUUCCCUGGCAAGCGCAGAGUCCAAGGGCCCGGGGUGGAAGUGGACUUUUGGUACUUCCUUCCCUUGAGGAUGCGAAGGUACCUGCUUCACUUCUAACUUGGGUGCCAGGUAAGGCUCCGUUUUGAGUCUGAGGCGCGAAAUGCCCUGAGAGUCGUUAUUGCCGUCAAGGUAAGCAAAACGUUGACAGGAAGUCUAGUUCUCACUGACCCAGGAAUCGACCAUCCUUCACUUCGAACAUCACAAAUAAAUGGGGAACUUCAAGCGGCAAGUAUUUCUCCUAUACGUGCCACUAAGCGCUGGUUGAAGUGCACCGGCCCUUCUUCGUCUUCUAGUUUGAAAGUUGGUUUCUGGCAAGAGGAAAGAAAAGGCUGCGGCACUAAAAGAAGAAUCAAAGUGUUAAAAGGACGCUCAAAAUGUAGUAUUGUGGCAGGUCGGGGUCAAGCAUACCCCUGCACCUCACAGCUGGUUUGUUCUGUUUUGAGUUUGGUUCUACCCCAAGUUUUUCCUCUGUAUGUGGACAUUUUAGGGCCAAACUUCAACUUGGUGGAGAUUCUGACACUCAGCAGAAGGAGGCCUGAGCAGAAGGCAUAACUCAGACCUACUCCCAGCCACCAGGAAAUAAUGACAGUUGAAUGGGGGGAAUAAGGUUCAGAGUGAGAGCCAGCACUUGGACUCUGGGCAGGAGAACACAUUCCGAGGUGGAUAUUUUUUUUCCAGCCAACUGUCUUUAAAUGCGAGUCUCUGACACCAGGUUGCGGAUGAGAAGUGGAUAGGAGAGAGAAAAGUUGGGAAGGCUUCGAUUUGCAAGAGAAAAAACUUUUUGAAUUCUCCAUGCAGAUGGUGCAAAUCUGCCUGUAAUCAUUUUUCAGCUCAUCCGGGAGCUGCUCUCCAAGUGAAGCCCCAAAGUAAAUAAGUCACCCCCCCCAAAGUCACGCCUUUAAAGGGAACACCGUCGGCCUAAUUACGCUUGAAUUAUGCAAGGAGCUCCACGGAGGAUGGAACUUUAGACAAAUAAUUGCUCCAUUGUGUGGGGCCUGCCCGCCCGGCGCGGCCUCCCUCCCCUUUUCAUCACUUGGGCUCGAAAGGCGGCGGGGCUCUCAACCACCUGAAAACCGCCGCUGGGGGCCGAGCCAGAGACUCCUGCCUAAUUAACCUACUUUUCCACCCAGUGGAUGUCAAGAUUUUAGAAAAAGGGUUGAGAGAGGGAAAAGGGACUCACAGGGGUUCCCCCCAACCCCCAGUCGAAACAAAGUUCCUUUGCCAAGUUUUGCAGUUGUGAUUCCUUGAAAGCUUUUGCACCUUAGGCAAAAACUUGAGAUAUCCAGGGAAUUGCUUGGAAAAGCUUCCUGUGCUAUCAAGGGAGCCUUGAGAAGACCAGAAGAUGGAAAAUAUUGGAAAAUGAGUGCCAUCUGUGUGCUUCACUAGUGAUAAAUCAUUGCGAUCAAACAGGUUCUCAAAGUUUGGGAAUAAGUGAGUAAACGUGAAGCUCCCCACAAUCCCUAAAAGGAGAAUUAGAUUAAUUUUUCAAAUGAGAAUGAAAUUAAAUGAAUUUCCGAUGUAAUUUCCUGACUAAGCAGCAAGAAGCUAGGGAUUUUAACAACAAAGAGUAUCCUCUCUGACAAGUUGGUAAGGAUCACUUUGCUGAUCACUCAGCUACAAUUAUUUAUGAUGUUCUACUCACAGAUGGAUUCCCCAUUCAAAACCAAAUAAUUUAUUUCCAUUUCCUUUCAUUUGACUAGGACUGAAAUUGUCUUUUCAGGAUCACAGUCAUAUAUUUGGAUCAUUUCCCUGUAAAAAAAAUGUUUUACCUCCAAACCUUCAGAGUUCUUAUGGAAGCUGUGCAAUAAAAUGAUUGGAUAACACACUAUUGGCUCAUUAGGUCCAUUCUGAAAUGUUAUCUCUUGUUGGAAAAAUUCACAAUAUACUAGACCUCUAUGAAGGUAAUUUUGGAAGAAAGUAUAUGGACUUUGAAAUUUAUAGAAGUUGAGGGCUGAAUGAGUUUAGUAUUAGAACAGAAAACUAAGAGUCCUUGUAGAUUGUUAGAAAUAUUUUCUUUAAAAAAUAUAGAUGCAUUGCUAUUCAUUUAGUUGAUCCCCUCCAGCUUUAAAAACUCCACAGGACACUAGGUACGGUGUACACAAACAUUUCUCUAGAGGGCUUAUGUAUAUUUAUUUAUUCAUGGAGCCCAAGGCAACCAGUGUUUUAUAAGCAGAGACAGAAAUGGGGUGAAGGGCUGGUAGAAGUAAAAUGCUUCUGAAGUGAGUUCCUGAGAAGUUCCUGAGUGGUGUUCCUUCUUUAGGAAAGUUACUUAUCAACAUGCAAAUCUUUCUGUGAAAAUAGUCAAGAUGCCUUUAUUAAUGGGUUAUGAAUCCUACAAUUACCUGCGCUCUGCGUGUUUCAGUCACCAUUUUUCUACCCACACACAUACAGAUAAUCCCCUGUGUAUAUACAAACAAAAAAUACUAUACCCGCAAAGAUAUGCCAUAACUAUAAACAUAAAAACAGAUUUAAGAGUGGGCAGAAUCAGAGUAGAUAUGUACAAUUAGAGAAGAUGAGGGCCAUAAAAAAUGACAGAUGAGUAUGUGAAUUUAGAAAGUGCUAAUUUACGAAAUCUUACCUGGCUGAAGUCAUAGGCAUUUUGGGGUAGCCCCUGACAGGCUGCCUCGGACUUG